GGGCCAGGGCGCUCUGGAGAGCCGGGAACUCCUGCAAAGUUCCGGCGAUGGGUUCGAUCCCCAUCUGGUCCA
rnacentral:tRNA from 1 species